UACGGAGGGUGCAAGCGUUAAUCGGAAUUACUGGGCGUAAAGCGCGCGUAGGCGGCUAGAUAAGUCGGAUGUGAAAGCCCCGGGCUCAAUCUGGGAACUGCAUACGAUACUGUCUGGUUAGAGUAUGAGAGAGGGAGGUAGAAUUCCACGUGUAGCGGUGAAAUGCGUAGAUAUGUGGAGGAAUACUGGUGGCGAAGGCGGCCUCCUGGCUUAAUACUGACGCUGAAGUGCGAAAGCGUGGGGAGCAAACAGG
rnacentral:rRNA from 1 species